CUACGGGGGGCUGCAGUGGGGAAUCUUGCGCAAUGGGCGAAAGCCUGACGCAGCAACGCCGCGUGCGGGAUGAAGGCCUUCGGGCUGUAAACCGCUUUCAGCAGGAACGAAAAUGACGGUACCUGCAGAAGAAGGAGCGGCCAACUACGUGCCAGCAGCCGCGGUGACACGUAGGCUCCAAGCGUUGUCCGGAUUUAUUGGGCGUAAAGAGCUCGUAGGCGGUUGAGUAAGUCGGGUGUGAAAACUCUGGGCUUAACCCGGAGACGCCAUCCGAUACUGCUCUGACUAGAGUUCAGGAGGGGAGUGGGGAAUUCCUAGUGUAGCGGUGAAAUGCGCAGAUAUUAGGAGGAACACCGGUGGCGAAGGCGCCACUCUGGACUGAAACUGACGCUGAGGAGCGAAAGCAUGGGUAGCAAACAGGAUUAGAUACCCUAGUAGUC
rnacentral:rRNA from 1 species